CUUGUAGUAAAGAUCCUUGCCGCUUGGCUUUGACUCUGGACUCUGGUGGUCUUCUUUGGGGAACAAACGGUCUGGGCACAACAUCUGGGGGCUCGUCCGGGAUUCCCCAAGCCCACCAGACCCCUGGUCAACGGAUCUGCUAAGAUCGAUCUACUGAUAGGCCGGCGUAGGACUACAACACGGCAGAAGGUAGGGGACGGCUACACCUUUAUUGCCAGACUCUAAUGGCAGGUCUCCCCGGGCAGCUGCUCGCAAGCCCACUAAUUUGGCUAAAGUAUAUUCUAUUCAGCAGGAAAAGACAGAGAGCCCAGCCACCUACUUAGAAAGAUUAAUGGAAGCUUUUAGACAGUACACCCCCAUAAAUCCAGAGGCUCCAGGAAGUCAGGCAGCUGUUGUAAUGUCUUUCGUAAAUCAGGCAGCCCCAGAUAUUAAAAAAA